rnacentral:lncRNA from 1 species
AGAGAGCUCAGUGAAACUUAACUGUGUAGAAGUGUUGGACUCAGUUUAUUCUAGGGGGCCCAACCACCGAGACCAUCUUUAAACAUCAGUAGACUCGAGCUGUACGUGGACGGGAGCAGCUUCGCCAACCCCUGCAAAGUGACUCUGAAGAAGACGACAAGCCCUGCUCCAGUCACACCCGGAAGCUGACUGGUCCACGUACAGCCGAAGCAUGAGGAAACUCAUCGCGGGACUCAUUUUCCUUAAAAUUUGGACUUGUACAGUAAGGACUUCAACUGACCUUCCUCAGACUGAGAACUGUUUCCAGUAUAUACAUCAAGUCACUGAGCCGAACAUGGAGCCCAGUCUCUACAAGUCACCUCUAGCUGUGUUUGCGGAGGAACCGUAACAGGAGAUCAGCGGCCAUGGGAAGCCCGAGAAUUAGUUCCUACAGACCCAGUUCCUGAUGAAUUCCCAGCCCAAAAGAACCACCCUGACAAUUUUUGAGUUCUAAAAGUCUCAAUUAUUGGACAGUAUUGCAUAGCUUGAGAAGGAAAAGGAUUCACUCAUCCUGUAGGGCGGCUUGGUUGUCUUGGGCAAAAGCUGUAUAACGGUACCACAAAAACAGUUACAUGGUGGAGUUCCAAUUACACAGAAAGAAAUCCAUUCAGUAAAUUUCCAAAGUUGCAGACUGUUUGGGCCUACCCAGAACUCCACCGGGACUGGACGGCCCCCACCGGGUUAUACUGGAUAUGUGGACCCAGAGCUUAUGCUAAGCUGCCUGAUCAAUGGACAGGUAGCUGUGUAAUUGGCACCAUGAAGCCAUCUUUCUUCUUACUGCCCAUAAAAACAGGUGAACGUCUGGGCUUCCCAGUCUAUGCUUCCCGCGAAAAACGAAGCAUAGCCAUAAGUGAUUGGAAAGAUGAUGAAUGGCCCCCUGAAAAAAUCAUACAAUACUACGGACCCGCCACUUGGGCAGAAGAUGGCUCAUGGGGAUAUCGAACCCCCAUCUACGUGCUCAACCGAAUCAUACGGUUACAAGCUGUUUUAGAAAUUAUUACUAUAAACCUGGUCAAGCCUUGACUGUUCUUGCCCGGCAAGAGACUUUGAUGAGAAAUGCUAGCUCUCAAAAUAGACCAGCUCUUGACUACUUGCUAGCAGCUGAAGGAGGAGUUUGUGAAAAAUUUAGCCUUACUAAUCGUUGUCUACACAUAGAUGAUCAGGGGCAAGUAGCUGAGAAUAUAGUUAAAGAUAUAACAAAACUGGCACACGUACCCGUGCACGUGUGGCAUGGACUCAAUCCAGGAGCCAUGUUUAGAAAUUAGUUCCCAGCAAUAGGAGGAUUUAAAACUCUUAUAACAAGAGUAACAAUAGUAAUAGGAACCUGCUUACUGCUCCCUUGUCUGAUACCUGUAUUUCUCCAAAUGAUAAAAAACUUCAUCACUACCUUAGUUCACCAAAAUGCUUCAGCACAAGCAUACUAUAUAAAUCACUAUCAAUCUAUUGCACAAAAAGACAUAAGUAGCAAAAAUGAGUGAGAACUCCCACUAAUAAAAAGUGAGAGUCUCAAAGGGGGGAAUGAGGGAAGAGAGAGACCGUCUCAUAUUGUUUUAUACUCAGUACCUAUUUUAAGAAAAAACAACAAGGAGGUAAAACCAAGGACAGGCAGCCCGGCGCUAGGCCCGAAACCAGGCCUGCGCCUGCCUGGCCUAAACUCAGUAGUGAAAAAUCAACUCAUAACUUAGAAACAGAUGUUAUUCAUAGAUUCCAGACAUUGUAUAGAAGAACAUUUGUGAAACUCCCUGCCGUGUUGUUUCUCUCUGACUGCCAGUGCAUGCAGCCUGUCACGUACCGCCUGCUUGCUCAAAUCAAUCACGACCCUUUCAUGUGAAAUGUUUAGUGUUGUGAGCCCUUAAAAGGGACAGAAAUCGUGCACUCGGGGAGCUCAGAUUUUAAGGCAGUAGUUUGCUGAUGCUCCCAGCUGAAUAAAGCCCUUCCUUCUACAACUCGGUGUCUUGAGAGAUUUUGUCUGCGGCUCAUCCUGCUACAGCAACUGAUGUGACUUAAACCUGAUGAUGGAUGGAGGCACAGACCUGGGACAGACGGACCUGGGACCUGGACGGACCUGGGACAGACGGACCUGGGACCUGGACAGACCUGGGACCUCGACGGACCUGGGACCUGGGACCUAGACGGACCUGGGACCUGGGACCUAGACGGACCUGGGACCUAGACGGACCUGGGACCUGGGACCUAGAUGGACCUGGGACCUAGAUGGACCUGGGACCUAGAUGGACCUGGGACCUGGGACCUAGAUGGACCUGGGACCUAGAUGGACCUGGGACCUGGGACCUAGACAGACCUGGGACCUCGACGGACCUGGGACCGGGACCUAGACGGACCUGGGACAGAUGGACCUGGGAACCUGGACGGACCUGGGACCUGGGACCUGGACGGCACCUCUGUCUUCCCUUCCUUCCCUCUGUGUGCACACCGCCGGGGCGCUCUUUUCAGUUGCUCUCUGUAGGCCGCGGUGUUCCAACUGUGUUUUCUUAGAUUUGUAUAUGUCACUUUGACAACCAUGAAUUACAUGGCCAAACUUAUGGCCACGGCUGUUCUCCUCCCCACUUCCAUCCAGAGCCGGUACCCUGA